rnacentral:rRNA from 1 species
AGUGAACGCUGGCGGCGUGCUUAACACAUGCAAGUCGAACGAGAACGGAAUAUAGCUUGCUAUAUUUGUCAGCUAAGUGGCACACGGGUGAGUAAUGUAUAGAUAACCUGCCCUUAAGAAAGGAAUAACAGUUGGAAACGACUGCUAAUGCCCUAUAUGCCUUUAAUACAUAAGUAUGCAAGGGAAACGCUUUAGUGCUUAAGGAUGGGUCUGUAUGGUAUCAGCUUGUUGGUGAGGUAAUGGCUCACCAAGGCUAUGACGCCUAACUGGCUUGAGAGGAUGACCAGUCACACUGGAACUGAGACACGGUCCAGACUCCUACGGGAGGCAGCAGUGGGGAAUAUUGCACAAUGGACGAAAGUCUGAUGCAGCAACGCCGCGUGGAGGAUGACACAUUUCGGUGCGUAAACUCCUUUUAUAUAGGAAGAUAAUGACGGUACUAUAUGAAUAAGCACCGGCUAACUCCGUGCCAGCAGCCGCGGUAA